rnacentral:lncRNA from 1 species
UAUGUUUUAUUAAUAUGAAAUCCCUCAUUUUAUCUGUGUACUUCAUCAUUUGGGCUUUAUUUACAUUUUGGCACUUUAUUUCUUUUAAUAGGCACUGUUUCUUAGAUGUUAACUUUCCAUAAUGGCAUUGUUAACUGCUAACCAGUUUUGUUUAUUAAAAAGAAGCUUUCACAGUAUGCUCAAGUUUGUUCAUUCACUCAGACAACAAUAUUUAUUUACCACCUGUUAUGUACCAGGCAGUACCUAGUUACUUGGAAUCAAUGAACAAAAGAAGAACGCUUUCCUCAUAAAGCUUGCAUUUUUGUGGCAGAUAGAAGAUAAUCAUGAACUUAUACAUAUAUCACAUUACAUACUAUGUUAAACGGUAAGUACUGUGACAAAAAUGAAAAAGCAAAUGUAGAUGUGAGUCAUAGGGGCCAGAGUAUAUAUGGUGGAUGGGGAAGAGACUUGCAAUGAAAACAAAACAACACAAAAGGAUGGUCUGUUUGCCUUCCUAUGAAGAUGACAUGUGGAUAAAGAUGUGAAGAAGGUGAGGAACUUGGCAGUGGGGAUUCCUGAAAGAAGAUCAUUCCAGGCAGAGGACUGAGCUAGAGCAAUGGUCCUAAAGUAAAAGCAUUUCCUGGAGUGUUUAAGGACAAACUGAGCAGGGAGAAUAGCUCCCUGGAGUAUAAAGUAAGCAGAGGAGGAAUAGCAAGAGAGGAAAUCAGAAAGGGACAGGGGAGGCGUGGCCAGAUGCAGAUCCUGGAGGGCACAAUUGGCUGAUGUUCUUACACUGAGAUAAAUGGGAAGCUACUGCAAAGUUUUGGGCAUAAGUGAUGUCUUCUGACUUAUUUGCAAUCAGGACGCAUUUUGAAUGUAGAGUCAACAGAAUUUUCUAAUGGAUUAGUAUUGAAUUCAGACAGACACAAAAGUACAUGUGUUACCUACAGAAGCCAUGGACACCUUGGCAAAUAACAUUCAUAGCAAAUAAUAAUAGUGAUAUUAAUGGUAAAUAAUGACAUCCAUAUUAUUGCCAUUGCCAGAUACUCUCUAUUUUACAUGAGAGAGUAAACACUCAAAACAUCCUGUAAAGGAUUAGUUAUUAUUAUUCUCAUUUUACAAAAGAAGCUGCAAAGCACAGAAAAAUCAGUUCCUUGUCCAAGAUAACAGCGGAAAAGGGACAGAGUUGGAUUUAAAUCUUGGUGUUAGAGAAUAUGUGCUCAUAAUCUGUACUGUUCAUAUUUUGAAACAAAGAUUAUACCAGAGCUCCAAACAGGGAAAGGUAACAAAUACCUCUUAUUUAGAAUCAAUUUUCUUUUGCUUCUUUACAAGGAAAAAAAUAACAGAGCUGGUAAGUGUUGACAGUGCUGAAGGUGAGUGAUUUUAUUACUCCAGAUAGGUUAGCUUAUGCUGUGGGAACAACCAGUCUGUCAACAGAGGUUUAUUUCUCCCUAGUUGCAGCUCUGCUUCUUACUGCCUUCAUUUUGGACCUCAGGCCACUGAAGCAGUCCUUGUCUUGGGACAUGUCUCUAUCGUAAUUGAUGGGAGAGAGAACAUGCCACACCGUACACUUCCUCUUUAAUCUUCUAUCUGUAGACAGAAUGUGCCUCUGCCCACCUUUCAUUGGCCAAAGCAAGUCAUGUGACCAUCCCUGAGUUCAGCAGAGCCUUGCUAUAUACAUGUCCCACAGACAGGCCCCACAGAGAGGGAAAUGAAAUAAUUUCUGAGUAGAUUCUGAUCUACCACAGGGGCACUGCCUUAUUUUUAAUCAUGCUUACAUACUUUGCAGCUGCUAAUCUGCUGACAUUUUCCAAAGGUGGCAAGUACUAUAAAGAAAAGAUAAAACACAGUUAAUGUAUUUCUUGGACUGGAAGAAUUCUUAGACUAUCUAAACCAGUGCCUAGGCAGAGAACCCUUGUGAGGAAAUUUGAUUGAUAAGUUUCCUGAUUGAGGCCAUGGAGUUGAGUGGGAGGGAGGCUUCUGUGGAUUUUUCUCAACAAGUUGAUUUUAAGAUUCCAUAAGACCCUUUCUUCACAUUCACUCAAUGUUCACUCACUGAUUCACCCAGAGCAACUUCCGGUUCUGCAGGUUCCAUUCAUGGUAGAUAUUUUAUACAGGUGUACUUUGUCUUUUAUGCUUUAUUUUUACUGCAUUUUUUAUAUUUAGAGACAUAAAUACUUACUAUUCUACUACAACUCCUACAGUAUUCUGUAGAGUAACAUGCUAUAUAGGUUUGUAGCCUAGGAGCAAUAGGCUAUACCAUACAGCCUAGGUGUCUAGUAGGCUACAAACUCUAUGUUUGUGUAUGUACAGUACACUCCAGGAAUGUUCACACAAUGGCAAAAUUACAUAACAACACAUUUCUCAGAACGUAUCCCUGGUGUUAAGCAACAUAUAACCGUGUAUACCACCUUUUCUUUAUCUCUUCAUGUGAUGAGGACACUUAGGUUGAUUGCAUAUCCUUGCCAUUUUCAAUAAUGCUGCCACAAACAUAGGAGUGCAGAUACCUGUUGGACAUACUGAUUUUAUUCUUUUUGGUUAUCUACCCAGUAGUGGGAUUGCUGAUUCUUUGGUAUUGUUUUAGAUAUAAGGUAUAAGAUCUGUGACAGAAAUUUUCUUGAGAUUUAGGAUAAUUUGAUGAUACUCUUAUAAGUGUAAUUUACUCUCUUUCUUCAAGUACUGUUUUGCUAGAGAUUCUCCAGUGUGCAAGGCAUUCACUCGAAUUUCUCUUUAAACUCCAUUCCUCGACACUGCUCCACUUCUCUUAUAGAUCUAGAAGUGGUAUAAAUCAAGUUGAUCUGAAAAUGAAAAAAAAAUGCAGAAUUCUCUCAUAAACGGUUUCAAAAUUUAAUAUUACAGCUGUUAGUUCACUGGGCAAUGAGCAAAGUUUGCUUUUUUAAAAAUCUGAAUUCAUUUUAUUUACUCUGCAAAUAAUUUACUUCAAUACAUUUAAAAACUCAAGUUUUGUUUUGUUUUUGAUUUUAAAGACAAAAACAUUCUCAUAGUUUUCAGACCUAGAAAAACAAACUUUGUAUUGUAUUGUAAUGAUUUUCAGUUUUUUAUAAAGAACUACCUGUUUUAUUAAAUUGUAGGCCCUUUAUGUAACAAAUCUCCUUUCUUUUCCUUUAUUUGAAAUGAUAACUCUAGAACUUUCACACAAAUAAUCAAAACUGUGAAUAGAAAUUCGUCUUUUUGUUUAACUAUGAACUUCUUUCUUACCUGAUAGGUUUCUUUUUCCAAAGAGGAACAGGACUGCUAAAUUUAGUACUGUCAAAUACUCCAGGAUCAAAGCUCUCUGCUAAGUCCCCAGAAUGGAAUAGCUGCCACCAGCCUUUCAACUACAAGUCUUUAUGAAUCUGGACUUUUUGGACUGAAGUUAGUCUGUGAAUUGAAUUUCCUUUAUAAAGUUUUACUUCGGAUUUGUGCCCUUAGCUUCAUUUCCCCUCAGGGAUCCUUUAACUUCACGAGAAUAUUCUCUGGAAAAUGAUACCUUUCAGUGACUUGUGCCUGAGUCCUCUCAGAAUGUUCCUAUUCAUUGCCAAUGCUCCAAGACUUCCUAGUGUAAUUCAUUAUUAAAUUCAGGAUAUAACUUAUUUAAUUUUUAUAGGGAUUAUUUAUAUCCUGGCAUUUCCUCAUCUUGUUGCUUUCCUCUGAUCUAAGGCUAGAUUUUUGAAUAUAGUAUUGAUUUACUUCAUUUUUCUUCCAUAAAUAAGGUAGUAGAAUACAAUAAUCUUCUCUCUUUGGUAGCUAGAGAACAGAGCCUGCCCCUAGGCCCUGCUGCUAUUUCUUACUGGUAUAAACUGGCACAAUACAAUCCAGAAUAGCCAGUGUACAUUCAUCAUAUCACAUUGGAAAGCAGGAAACUAUAAGAAGUGAUUCAUAUGCAAAUCUGAAAAGCUCUUUUCCUACUCCUUAGAAAUGACUUAGCUUUAAAUUGCUCCUCAUUUAUGAGAAUAAUAAUGAACUUAAUUGUUCUUCUGGAAUAUCUGUGCUGUUGUAAGGAGGAACCUUCCAUACUUUUAGGACGCAUCCAAGAGCUAUCUCCACACUGGGAAGAAAGCGAUCAUCAGUGUGAACACUUAAAUCCUUAGAUAUCUAAUACCUUUAUAACUUGAAUGUAUAGACCCAUGGAUAGACCUGCCAGUAGACAUAGACAAAAUUAAAAUGUUCAUGUUAAUGAAACUUGUUUGGCUUUUUCUUUAAAAAUUUAUUUUGUGUAUGGAGGAGAGUAUUAAAUUUGAGAAAAUUUGCU